rnacentral:rRNA from 1 species
UACGGGGGGUGCAAGCGUUGUUCGGAAUUACUGGGCGUAAAGGGCGCGUAGGCGGCCUUCUAAGUCGGACGUGAAAUCCCUCGGCUUAACCGAGGAACUGCGUCCGAUACUGGUGGGCUUGAAUCCGGGAGAGGGAUGCGGAAUUCCAGGUGUAGCGGUGAAAUGCGUAGAUAUCUGGAGGAACACCGGUGGCGAAGGCGGCAUCCUGGACCGGCAUUGACGCUGAGGCGCGAAAGCUAGGGGAGCAAACGGG